rnacentral:rRNA from 1 species
AGAGUUUGAUCCUGGCUCAGAAUCAACGCUGGCGGCGUGCCUCAGACAUGCAAGUCGAACGAUUAAAGCCCCUUCGGGGGUGUAUAAAGUGGCGCACGGGUGAGUAACACGUAGGUAAUCUACCUUUGAGUGGGGAAUAACAAUCGGAAACGAUUGCUAAUACCGCAUAAUGCAGCGGCAUCAUAAGAUGACAGUUGUUAAAGGAGCAAUUCGCUUAAAGAGGAGCCUGCGGCAGAUUAGCUAGUUGGUAAGGUAAUGGCUUACCAAGGCUACGAUCUGUAACCGACCUGAGAGGGUGGUCGGUCACACUGACACUGAAUAACGGGUCAGACUCCUACGGGAGGCAGCAGUCGGGAAUUUUGGGCAAUGGGCGAAAGCCUGACCCAGCAACGCCGCGUGAAGGACGAAGUCUUUCGGGAUGUAAACUUCGUAAGAAUAGGAAGAAUAAAUGACGGUACUAUUUGUAAGGUCCGGCUAACUACGUGCCAGCAGCCGCGGUAAUACGUAGGGACCAAGCGUUGUUCGGAUUUACUGGGCGUAAAGGGCGCGUAGGCGGCAAUUCAAGUCAGUUGUGAAAUCUCCGAGCUUAACUCGGAACGGUCAACUGAUACUGCUUUGCUAGAGUACAGAAGGGGCAAUCGGAAUUCUUGGUGUAGCGGUGAAAUGCGUAGAUAUCAAGAGGAACACCUGAGGUGAAGACGGGUUGCUGGGCUGAUACUGACGCUGAGGCGCGAAAGCUAGGGUAGCAAACGGGAUUAGAUACCCUAGUAGUCC